ensembl:lncRNA
AGUCCCAUCAGCCAACAUAAGGCUAGGUAGAAGGACACCACAGUCCCAACAGCCAACAUAAGGCUAGGUAGAAGGACACCUCAGUUCCCAUCAGCCAACACAAGGCUAGGUAGAAGGACACCUCAGUUCCAUCAGCCAACAUAAGGCUAGGUAGAAGGACACCUCAGUCCCAUCAGCCAACAUAAGGCUAGGUAGAAGGACACCUCAGUCCCAUCAGCCAACAUAAGGCUAGGUAGAAGGACACCUCAGUCCCAUCAGCCAACUCAAGGCUAGGUAGAAGGACACCUCAGUCCCAUCAGCCAACAUAAGGCUAGGUAGAAGGAC